GGCCACGUGGCCGAGCGGUUAGGCAGGGGUCUGCAAAACCCCGUACAGCGGUUCAACUCCGCUCGUGGCCU
rnacentral:tRNA from 1 species